CCACGUUCCAGUCCUUGUCAGCUGAUAUCCAAUUUCACUAUAUGCGCUGUCAAUUGUCAACCUUUUCUAUAGUGGAUGUUCUUUACUGCGAAACUAAUGUAAGUUAGAAUAUAUGUCCUGCUCAAUAUUGAAAUUAAGUUAAUAACGAACGUUUAGAAGCAAAACAGUCUAGCGUAGCCGACCACACACUCCUCUAAAACGGGACUUUUCUGUGGGUGACUGUUACAACCACCAAAUAUUGAUUUCAUGUCCCGGAUAUCAAAGCUGAUUGCUGAAUGUUUUUUUAAUCACCUGUUGCGCAUGGAAUCUAACAAUAACAGUUUGCCCAGGUGAGGUUGGAUACGUCUACAUCUGGCCUGCUACUUUGGACACAAAGAUGUGGUGGAGGAGUUACUCAAGGAAGUAGUUAUUUUGCUGUUACGAUACCUGUGCCACUGUCAUCAACGGGACAGCCCAGGUCCCUAUAUCUGUCUGCGAGGAUAAUGCGACCAUCGCCAUGCACGAGGCUGCAGAGAUUAGAGAGGAGGAAGGAAGAGAAGCUUCUGGAGGUGGACAGAGCGGGAGACAUCAGCCUGUCUCAGCUGGUCAGCAUCUGAUCAUCCCUGGCCCUCCACUGAACCUCUCAACCUCAAGCUCUGCAAGAUGCAGCCUCCAGACAUCCACUGUAGAGACCUGCCUACAGGGGGCAGAAGCAGUGUGUCAGAAAGAUGCUGAAGUUUGGAGCCAGCCCCAGCAUCAAGAAUGAGCAUUAUGUAGCAACUGAUAUGUCCAAAGAAGAAAUUAAACACAUUAUUUUUAUAACUAUGGUAUACCUUUUUAAUAAAUAUUAAAUAGGCUUGUGACUUACAUGUUUGGAUGGAUACAACUUAGAGCCUGGAUGCAGUUUCAAAUCACUUGCAUUUCAUAAUGUAUAGAACAGGCUUAUAGAUUUUGCCUAACAUUUACAAAGCAAAAUCUACUUAGUCGGUGUCUGUGGUUGAGUCCCAAAUGACACCCUAUUCCCUACAUAGUGCACUGACUUUUACCAGAGCCCUAUUCUCCCUGGUCAAAAUAGUGCACUAGAAUAAGGUUCCAUUUGGGACGCAUAUGUGUUGUAUUCACUGCCUCCCUCCCUGUCAGCUAGCAGGAUGUCAUUGAUAAAUUACUGAUAAAUGGCUAUGUUCUGCUGCAGACCAAACCGUUUUUGACCUGCCCUGCAGUGAGGAGAUUAAGCAGAUUCUGGUGGGCAGUCAUGACAAGGUGAGAUGCGAGAGGAACAUUGGAGCAAAAAGCUGCUGAUUCUGUGAUUCUACUGAAACAAAAACAAAAAAUUCUUCCCCUAGAGGAUACGACUUGUGUUGUGCCGAACG